CAUGGUGCUAACAAACGACCUCUCCCAACUGUACACAGAGAACUUCCAACCACUCCUGACCACUAUACAGAAGGACCUGCAGGAAUAGAACCAGGUUCGCCUCUCAUGUUUUGGAAGAGUGGGAGUGCUCAAGAUGAACAUCCUACCGAGGGUCCUCUACCUGUUUCAGGCUAUCCCCGCGACCAUACCGGAGGCAUUUUUUACCUCCCUUAGAUCGAUGGCCCUCCGGUUCACCUGGCAGAGACAGAAGGCCAGGAUACAACAUGACGUGCUCACACUACCGAAAGCCAAGGGAGGCCUAGCUCUGCCAGACUUUAAGAGAUACCAUAGAGCCACACACAUCCAGAGGAUAGUGGAGUGGUCUAAACGGGGAGUGGAGAAACUUUGGAAGGAUGUAGAGUCUUCUCUGGUGGAGAGACCGAUGGCAGUCCUUCCCUGGCUAGACCCCCAACAAAGCAGACAGCUAGCUGCCCCACAUCCCCUAAUCAAAGCGACUGUGCGGGUUUGGCAAGCUCUGGCAGUACCACUCUCGCUCACCUCCACACCAUCCCCAAUGAUGCCCCUAGUCCAUAAUGAGGCCUUCCCACCAGGAAGGGAACCAAGAACAUUGGUCUAGCUGCUGGGACAAGACAUACCGAGGCUCUUCCACACCAUGGACGAUGGUCGCCUCAAAUCACUAGAGGCCGUGACGGGGAACUCUGAUCACCCAUUUAUGCUCCAAUUCAGAUACCGACAACUGAAAGGGCUUAUACAAGAAACCACCCGAAACAACCACACCCUCAGACCCUUAACAACGUUUGAAGAGAUAUGCAUGGACCCAGACCCGCUGCCGAGGUGCCUAUCAACGCUCUAUGGAAUGAUCAUGCGGUUGAGGAGGCUACCACCCC